GAUGUACUCCCUCCGUUCCGAAUUACUCGUCGCAGAAAUGAAUGUAUCUAGAUGUAUUUUAGUUCUAGAUACAUCCAUUUCUGCGACGAGUAAUUUGGAACGGAGGGAGUAAGAG
rnacentral:pre_miRNA from 1 species